UACGAGAGGUCCAAGCGUUAGUCGGAAUCACUGGGCUUAAAGGGUGCGUAGGCGGGCCAGUAAGUGUCUCGUGAAAUCCCAUGGCUCAACCAUGGAACUGCGGGGCAUACUGCUGGUCUUGAGGAGCUAGAGGCCGGCGGAACGAUAGGUGGAGCGGUGGAAUGCGUAGAUAGUCUAUCGGAACGCCAAAGGUGAAGACAGCCGGCUAGGGCUUUCCUGACGCUCAGGCACGAAAGCGUGGGGAUCAAACAGG
rnacentral:rRNA from 1 species